rnacentral:rRNA from 1 species
AGCCUGCUGGAAGUGACGAAGGCCGUAAAUUGUUCCUGCUUAUUGGAUUGCAGGGGCUGUGAAGGACUUCCUGGAAAUAACUCCAGCUUAUAGACCGUACCCCAAACCGACACAGGUGGGCUGGUAGAGUAUACCAAGGCGCUUGAGAGAAUGAUGUUGAAGGAACUCGGCAAAUUGCCCUCGUAACUUCGGAAGAAGAGGGCCCCAUUGAUGGGCAACCAUUGGUGGGGGGCACAGACCAGGGGGUGGCGACUGUUUAACAAAAACACAGGGCUCUGCGAAGUCUGUAAGACGACGUAUAGGGUCUGACGCCUGCCCGGUGCCGGAAGGUUAAGAGGAGGGGUGCAAGCUCUGAAUCGAAGCCCCGGUAAACGGCGGCCGUAACAAUAACGGUCCUAAGGUAGCGAAAUUCCUUGUCGGGUAAGUUCCGACCUGCACGAAUGGCGUAACGACUUCCCCGCUGUCUCCAACAUCAACUCAGCGAAAUUGAAUUCCCCGUGAAGAUGCGGGGUACCCGCGGUCAGACGGAAAGACCCCAUGCACCUUUACUAUAGCUUUGCAGUGGUAUUAGGGAAUGAAUGUGUAGGAUAGGUGGGAGCCUAUGAAGCGCCGGCGCUAGUCGGUGUGGAGGCAACGUUGAAAUACCACCCUUUUGUUCUCUGAUAUCUAACCCCCCAUGAAGCUGGGGCCGGGACCCUGCAUGGUGGGUAGUUUGACUGGGGCGGUCGCCUCCCAAAGAGUAACGGAGGCGCGCGAUGGUAGGCUCAAGCUGGUCGGAAAUCAGCUGUUGAGUGCAUUGGCAUAAGCCUGCCUGACUGCGAGACUGACAAGUCGAGCAGAGACGAAAGUCGGUCAUAGUGAUCCGGUGGUUCCACGUGACGGGCCAUCGCUCAACGGAUAAAAGGUACGCUGGGGAUAACAGGCUGAUCUCCCCCAAGAGUCCAUAUCGACGGGGAGGUUUGGCACCUCGAUGUCUCUCAUCACAUCCUGGGGCUGGAGCAGGUCCCAAGGGUAUGGCUGUUCGCCAUUUAAAGUGGUACGUGAGCUGGGUUCAGAACGUCGUGAGACAGUUCGGUCCCUAUCUGCCGUGGGUGUUGGAGUAUUGAGAGGAUUUGCCCCUAGUACGAGAGGACCGGGGUGAACGCACCUCUGGUGUACCGGUUGUCGCGCCAGCGGCAUCGCCGGGUAGCUAUGUGCGGACGGGAUAACCGCUGAAAGCAUCUAAGCGGGAAACCCACCUCAAAACUAGUACUCCCUAUGAGAGCCGUGAGAGACCAUCACGUUGAUAGGCCAGAUGUGGAAGCGCAGUAAUGCGUGUAGCUAACUGGUACUAAUUGCUCCAUUGGCCA